AGAGUUUGAUCCUGGCUCAGGAUUACGCUGGCGGCGUGCUUAACACAUGCAAGUCGAACGGAGCAGAUUUAUCUGCUUAGUGGCGGACGGGUGAGUAACGCGUGGGUAACCUGCCUUGUACAGGGGGACAACAGUUGGAAACGACUGCUAAUACCGCAUAAGCGCACAGAGCUGCAUGGCUCAGGGCGAAAAGAAUUAUCGGUACAAGAUGGACCCGCGUCUGAUUAGCUAGUUGGUGAGGUAACGGCUCACCAAGGCGACGAUCAGUAGCCGAUCUGAGAGGAUGACCGGCCACAUUGGGACUGAGACACGGCCCAAACUCCUACGGGAGGCAGCAGUGGGGAAUAUUGCACAAUGGGGGAAACCCUGAUGCAGCGACGCCGCGUGAGUGAAGAAGUAUUUCGGUAUGUAAAGCUCUAUCAGCAGGGAAGAAAAUGACGGUACCUGACUAAGAAGCACCGGCUAAAUACGUGCCAGCAGCCGCGGUAAUACGUAUGGUGCAAGCGUUAUCCGGAUUUACUGGGUGUAAAGGGAGCGCAGGUGGCUUGGCAAGCCAGAAGUGAAAGCCCGGGGCUUAACCCCGGGACUGCUUUUGGAACUGUUGAGCUGGAGUGCAGGAGGGGCAAGCGGAAUUCCUGGUGUAGCGGUGAAAUGCGUAGAUAUCAGGAGGAACACCGGUGGCGAANGCGGCUUGCUGGACUGUAACUGACACUGANGCUCGANAGCGUGGGGAGCAAACAGGAUUAGAUACCCUGGUAGUCCACACGGUCAGAUGAUGCAUACUAGGUGCUGGGGAGCGAAGCUCCUCGGUGCCGCCACUUACGCAUUAAGUAUUCCACCUGGGGAGUACGACAGCCAGUAUAUAACUCAAAGGAAUGCACGAGGACCAGCACAAGCGGUGGAGCAAGUGAUUUAAUUGGAAGCUACGAGUAGGACACUACCAGCUUUUGACAUCCCGAUCGAUAAGGGGUAAUGCCCAUAGCCCUUCGGGGGAACGGAGACAGGGAUGCAUGGUCUCGUCAGGUGCGUAUAGUGAGAUGUUGGGCUAACUCCAGCAACGAGGGCAACCCUCAUCCUCAAUAGGCAGCAUCAUAGAUGGACACUCGUGGGGAGACUGUCCGGGAUAACCGGGAGGAAGUUGGGGAUGACGUCAUAUCAUCAGGCCCCAUAUGAGCAGGAUUACACACGUGGUACGAUGGCAUACACAGAGAGAAGCGAAGCCGUGAGAUCGAUCAAACCUCAAAAAUGACGUCUCAGACCGGACAGUAGUCCCCAACUCGACUACACGAAGCUGGAAUCGGUAGUAAUAUCGAAUCAGAAUGUCGCGCAGAAUACGUUCACCGGGUCCAGUACACACCGCCAGUCA
rnacentral:rRNA from 1 species